rnacentral:rRNA from 1 species
GUAGGUGGCGAGCGUUAUCCGGAAUCAUUGGGCGUAAAGAGGGAGCAGGCGGCCUGGAGGGUCUAUUGUUAAAAGGCAGUGGCUUAACCAUUGCAAGGCGAAGAAACCGGCAGGCUAGAGUUCUAAAGAGGAUCGUGGAAUUCCAUGUGUAGCGGUGAAAUGCGUAGAUAUAUGGAGGAACACCAGUGGCGAAGGCGACGAUCUGGGAAGAAACAGACGCUGAGUCCCGAAAGCGUGGGGAGCAAA